GAUAAACGCUGGACGAGAAUGCUUAACACAUGCAAGUCGAUGGAUGGGAAGCUAAGCCUAGCUUAGAAGAAGUCAUGGCGGACGGGUGAGUAACGUGUAAAGAACUUGCCCUCUAGACUGGGAUAACAGAUAGAAAUGUCUGAUAAUACCGGAUAUUAUUGUUACAUGGCAUCAUGUAGGAAUGAAAGGAUAAGAUUGCUAGAGGAGAGCUUUGCAUCCUAUUAGCUAGUUGGUGAGGUAACGGCCCACCAAGGCAAUGAUGGGUAGCCGGCCUGAGAGGGUGAACGGCCACAAGGGGACUGAGACACGGCCCUU
rnacentral:rRNA from 1 species